rnacentral:rRNA from 1 species
UUGAACGCUGGCGGCAUGCCUUACACAUGCAGGUCGAACGCGAAAGGGGGCAACCCUGAGUAGAGUGGCGAACGGGUGAGUAAUGCAUCGGAACGUGUCCUGUAGCGGGGGACAACCCCGAGAAAUCGGGGCUAAUACCGCAUACGUCCUACGGGAGAAAGUGGGGACCGCAAGGCCUCACACUAUAGGGGCGGCCGAUGCCGGAUUAGCUAGUUGGUGAGGUAAGAGCUCACCAAGGCGACGAUCCGUAGCUGGUCUGAGAGGAUGAUCAGCCACACUGGGACUGAGACACGGCCCAGACUCCUACGGGAGGCAGCAGUGGGGAAUUUUGGACAAUGGGCGCAAGCCUGAUCCAGCCAUGCCGCGUGAGUGAAGAAGGCCUUCGGGUUGUAAAGCUCUUUCGGCCGGGACGAAAUCUCUUCCGCUAAUAUCGGGAGUGGAUGACGGUACCGGAAGAAGAAGCACCGGCUAACUACGU